rnacentral:rRNA from 1 species
CAACUUUCAACAACGGAUCUCUUGGCUCUCGCAUCGAUGAAGAACGCAGCGAAAUGCGAUAAGUAAUGUGAAUUGCAGAAUUCAGUGAAUCAUCGAAUCUUUGAACGCACCUUGCGCCCUUUGGUAUUCCAAAGGGCACACCUGUUUGAGUGUCGUGAAAUUCU